rnacentral:ncRNA from 1 species
AAAACAACUUUGACGAAGAGAUGCUUUUACAGGAAAUCCUCAGAGAGCCGGUGGGUGCUGCGAACCGGUGAUUCCUUUAAGAGAUGAGCACUUCCGAGUUGGCAAACCAAGCCCGCUUGCGGUCGUAGGUUUGAACGGAUGAUCCGUUAUCUCUCAGGUCUUGUUACCUGGUAAGGUUCUUUUUUGCGAAAAGAAGAACAAAUGAGGGUGGUACCGCGAAUAUAACUUCUCGCCCCUCAC